UCAUUGAAAACUGCAGCCUGAGACAAGCAUCCUAGGAGCUGCUCUUCCACCAGGAGCUAGUCCAGCUCUGAUGAUUGAAUUAGAUUAAAUUGCACUGAGAAGAAUUGCACUGAGUUGCCCUGAGAUAGAAAUGGGAAAUGAAAGUGCAGGUGGGGACUAGGAUACUGUGAAGACAUACUCUGACUUCCAGAAUCCCGCUAAGCUCACAGCCAGGCACAUUGUAGGCAUAUUGCAAGAUGCUCAGAAAAUGUGUGUCAGAUGGAAGGGAAUGGGAGCGCAGAAGUUCAGCAUGGCCAUGCUCAUUCACAUUUAUUCCCAAGUCUGGCUCAGGUUUGGAUGGGGGAGAGGUAGAGCCUGUUUUUAUUUGCUGUCGGUUUGGUUUGAUUUUCACUGUAUCAACUUCCCUGGAAGGGAAGGGGCCCCUCAGGUGAAUGGCGAGGAACCCCAGAUCAGGCCUGGCUUAUAUUCUCAUAACUUUCUCAUAUUACUGGCUCUGGAUACUGCUGCACAGGCCGCCUCAUUGUGUAAAAGUCCCCCAAGAAUCCUGGUGCACCCUCCGACCAUCCUAACUCCCCACAAGAUGACCGCCUUCCCAAGCAUAACAGCCAGGAAUUCCCCGACGUGAGUGACCCCAAGCACAUAAAAGGUGCACAAAGGCAAAAAAAUAAUAGCUUUCCUUUAUUUCACACACCGCCCGCAACGCAACGCCAUAAAGCAUUUGAUUUAGGAUAUUAAAUGCCGCUGGUGAUGAGAACGUCAUGUAAGAUUUGCUUUGCGACUUCUUUCUUCUCAAACUGUCAUUAAAAAUGAUUUAUAGGUGAACCCAAGUCUGAGAAACAACAUGAUUAGAAUCAAGGGUUUGGGAAGGGGAUGGUGUGGGGAUCAGAUUUCCAGGGCAGCCCCACUAUCCAGUCUCAGAGACGGAAAAGGCUGAGUGUGAGACCCAACCGCUAACGAUUUCAAAGUGUGGAUUGAUUUACUUCCGUUAUACUUAGCUUGCAAGGAAAAAAGAAGAAGAGAGAGAGAACAAUGAACAGUGAAUCGACUUGGCUUCAUGACCACCUUCCCUUGUUGGGUAACUAGGCCUUACAUAUGCGGACUGAUUGAAUUAUUCCACUUCCACAGAGAGAGAGAAAGCAAGGACGAAAUCUUCCUCCUGAUUGCUGUCCCUUUGGGUUUCCUGCCCAGGAAAAAUGGUGCAGGAUGAAGGAGCAGCUAUUAGAAACCACAAAGAAGCAAAACUAACUCAUAUAUUUGGAUUCAAUCUUGGCUGGCUUGAAUUACUAAGCUAAAUAGUUGGAGCUUUAUUCUGUAGUACUGGAGGCCCUUAAAGAUAUUUGGGUAUAGAAAAUAUGCAGUGAAUUCUAACCUCCAAACUCUACUGUUUACUGGGAUAUCUAAGUGAUGGACCCAAUAUUAGAAAAUCCAAGCAUAAAAAUUGGAUAUAUGUGCAUAAUCUGGGGUGAUGUGUAG
rnacentral:lncRNA from 1 species